rnacentral:rRNA from 1 species
UACGAAGGGGGCGAGCGUUGUUCGGAUUUACUGGGCGUAAAGGGCGCGUAGGCGGGCUGCCAAGUCCGUGGUGAAAUCCUCCCGCUCAACGGGAGAACGGCCUCGGAUACUGGCGGCCUGGAGGGGGGUAGGGGCGUGCGGAACUGUGGGUGGAGCGGUGAAAUGCGUUGAGAUCCACAGGAACGCCGGUGGCGAAGGCGGCACGCUGGACCCUUUCUGACGCUGAGGCGCGAAAGCCAGGGGAGCGAACGGG